UGCGAAGGGGGCUAGCGUUGCUCGGAAUCACUGGGCGUAAAGCGCACGUAGGCGGCUUUUUAAGUCAGGGGUGAAAUCCUGGAGCUCAACUCCAGAACUGCCUUUGAUACUGAGAAGCUUGAGUCCGGGAGAGGUGAGUGGAACUGCGAGUGUAGAGGUGAAAUUCGUAGAUAUUCGCAAGAACACCAGUGGCGAAGGCGGCUCACUGGCCCGGUACUGACGCUGAGGUGCGAAAGCGUGGGGAGCAAACAGG
rnacentral:rRNA from 1 species